rnacentral:rRNA from 1 species
UACAGAGGGUGCAAGCGUUGUUCGGAAUUAUUGGGCGUAAAGAGCUCGUAGGCGGCCUGUUACGUCUGCUGUGAAAUCCCGGGGCUUAACCCCGGGCGUGCAGUGGAUACGGGCAGGCUGGAGGCAGGCAGGGGAGAACGGAAUUCCCGGUGUAGCGGUGAAAUGCGCAGAUAUCGGGAGGAACACCGGUGGCGAAGGCGGUUCUCUGGGCCUGUACUGACGCUGAGGAGCGAAAGCGUGGGGAGCGAACAGG